rnacentral:rRNA from 1 species
UACGUAGGGUGCAAGCGUUGUCCGGAAUUAUUGGGCGUAAAGAGCUCGUAGGUGGCUUGUCACGUCGGGUGUGAAAUCCCAGGGCUUAACCCUGGGUCUGCAUUCGAUACGGCUGGCUAGGUCCUUCAGGGAGACUGGAAUUCCUGGUGUAGCGGUGAAUGCGCAGAUAUCAGGAGGAACACCGGUGGCGAAGGCGGUCUCUGGACAGUUCCUGACACUGAGACACGAGGCCAGGGAGCAAACGG